UCUGUGUGCCAGAUAGUAAGAGGAGGAAGACAAGGAAAAUGACUACUACUUCUACUUAUUAAACAUCCGCUCCGAGCAAACACAUUUGGUGGUUUCACUACAGUGUGGAGCCUCUUUCGUCCCCACUGUAGGAAAAUGCAGUGCACUAUCUUGUGUUCCUUCCUAGAAGUUGAGGCCAAGCCAAGCCAGAUGGCAGCUCUAAGUUCCUUUUGUACUAAGCCUCUCCACUCUGACUGUCUGAGUGCUGGGCAUGAGCUACCCACCUCGCCUUCAUUGUUUACUGAAAAGUAGUUCAUGUCAGCCACGUCUUCCAGCUUUACAAAAUUGCAAGCCACUGGAGUCCCAACAUGACCUAAAACAGACCAGAUAUUCUGAGCUAAGCAACCAUAGAGCAAGGGUGUUUCGAAGAUGUUUAUGGGAUUGACUGGAAGCAUGGGAACAGGACUUGAGUUUGUCAUUCAUCAUAUUUAUCCAUAACACCAAAAUUAUCUAAACCCCAGACCAGGGUUCAGUUAGAAGCCUUCUCCCAACCAACAGCUAGAAAACUCACCUGCUGUCCAGUCGCCGGGUGAUGUAAUUGUACAUCCAGCUGUGCAUUCUGUUUGGCCAUAAGCUUCAAACACCUGGGAAACCAAAGAAGAGCUUUGAGGCUUAAGGUAAGUGUGACUGCCUGUGCCGUCUGCAGGAAAAUGGGAAAUAGCAACAAGAGCUGGAGAUGGUUUGGGGACAUCUUGAAAGCAUGUUCAGCUGCUUACUCUUCACAACUGGGAGCUCAUUACAAAACAAAAUAAUUCAGAAACAGAGUAUAGAAACCUACAUGAAAACUGUAGGUGAGGAAUGCAAAUCAUCCAGUAGGUGAUAGACAGCCAGUGGCCAUUAGCCUUAGCCUGGGCAGUAGGUGAUAGACAGCCAGUGGCCAUUAGACUUAGCCUGGGCAGCAGAGCAACUCUGAAGGUCAUGGGAAACACGGUAGCAUGCUUCUUGAGGAAAGAGCUCUAGCUUUGAUAAAGACCAAGGGUUGGCAAACUUUCUGCACAGGGCAAGACUGAAGAUUCUGUGCUUUGUGAGACAUCUGCUCUCUGCCUCAACCACCUAACCCUACCAAUGUGGCAUAAAAGCUGCCACAGACCUUGUAGAAAUGAACGGGGUCAGCUGAGUUCUGUACCUUUUCAACUCUACAGGAGUAGUUGGGGUAGCAGUGGGGUAGUGCUAUAAUUGCCAGCCCUCACAGAGAAGAUAAUCUUGACCAAAGAAAGGCUGGUGGCUGGAAGCAAGUUGAUAGGGCCACUGCAGUCAGAGGUGUGGCCUGCAGUUGGCAGGGUUGGUAGAAAUAGAGAGAUGCUGACAGGAGAUAUUGCAGGGAAGGGGUUGGAAGCAGGACUUUAUAUUAGUCUUUGGGGCUGAAGGAAAGAAAGGUACUAAAAAUGGCCAAGAGGAUGGCAGUUUGAAACCCUAAAGCCCCAUCACUGACUGGUACCAGACUGGUACCAGAACGUUGUCUGUAAAGUGCGCAGAUAGCAUUGAUGUAAACACGAAGUCUUACCCAGCACCCCAUUGCAGCCCGGAAGAAUGUCAGGACUGGAGUGGAAAUGGGGGCGGCUCCAGUGAUCAUGAUGCGAACAUUCCCGCCCAGGCCAUU